rnacentral:rRNA from 1 species
AUACGGAGGGUGCAAGCGUUACUCGGAAUCACUGGGCGUAAAGCGCGCGCAGGCGGCUAUUUAAGUUGGAUGUGAAAGCCUACGGCUCAACCGUAGAACUGCAUCCAAAACUAUUUAGCUAGAGUGUGGGAGAGGAAGAUGGAAUUAGUUGUGUAGGGGUAAAAUCCGUAGCGAUAACUAGGAAUACCAAAAGCGAAGGCAAUCUUCUGGAACACUACUGACGCUGAGGCGCGAAAGCGUGGGGAGCAAACAGGACUAGAUACCCCAGUAGUCC